rnacentral:tRNA from 1 species
CAAGAGGUGUAUGAACAACUAGACCUGCUAGCUCAAAUAACUGAAGAUAAAAUCCUCAGACCUCUUA